rnacentral:tRNA from 1 species
CUAAUGUGUCAGAUCUAAUGUAUUAAAUUUAAGAUUUAAAUAUGAAAAUUAUUCCUUUAGUA